ACUCAACGGUAGAGUACUCGGCUUUUAA
rnacentral:tRNA from 1 species